ACAUAGCACUCCUGUCUCCCGUUUGACUUCACAUAGUGAAAAUUGUCUAAAAGAUAAGGCAGGAGCUCUGGUUGACACCCCCCCUGCCCCCGCCUCAUAGAUCUCUCUCUAGAAGCAUUGGAAGAGGCCGUCUCAAAAAAGAAAAAUAAAAUAGAAGCAUUGGAGGAAAGAUGUGGUUUGUAGUGAAACAAAUUGGAAGUCAAGCUCAGCCUCAACCACUUACUUGCUUCUGACCUUGGCAUUAGGAAGAGGCCGGGUGCCGUGGCUCACACCUGUAGUGCCAGCGCUUUGGAAGGCUAAGAUGGGCAGACUGCUUGAACUCAGGAGUUUGAGACCAGCCUGGGCAAUGUGUCAAGACCCUAUCUCUACAAGAAAUUUUAAAAUUAGCCAGGCAUUGUGGAAUCCUGCUUUGUGUAGUUCAGUGCCUGCUGCCAAGUCAGAGCUGUGACCUCAAUGAAAGUGGCCCAGCCACAGCAGACCUCAGUUUCCAUAACAGUCCUGGGAUCCAAUGUGGCUUUCACACUACAUGUCACUUCACUCUGUUAUCUCCAACAGAAAACCAACUCAAACUGGCUUAAGC
rnacentral:lncRNA from 1 species